rnacentral:rRNA from 1 species
UACGUAGGGACCGAGCGUUAUCCGGAAUCAUUGGGCGUAAAGAGCUCGUAGGCGGCUAUUCAAGUCGAACGUGAAAUCUCGGAGCUCAACUCCGAGCCUGCGUUCGAUACUGGGUAGCUAGAGUCUGGUAGGGGGAUCUGGAAUUCCUGGUGUAGCGGUGGAAUGCGCAGAUAUCAGGAGGAACACCGGUGGCGAAGGCGGGAUCCUGGGCCAGUACUGACGCUGAGGAGCGAAAGCGUGGGGAGCAAACAGG